rnacentral:rRNA from 1 species
AUUGAACGCUGGCGGCAGGCCUAACACAUGCAAGUCGAACGAGUGGCGGACGGGUGAGUAAUGUCUGGGAAACUGCCCGAUGGCGGGGGAUAACUUCUGGAAACGGUAGCUAAUACCGCAUACCAUUGGUUGUGCCCAGUUGGGUUUAGUUAGUAGGUGGGGUAACGGCUCACCUAGGCGACGAUCCCUAGUUGGUCUGAGAGGAUGACCAGCCACACGGAAACUGAGACACGGUCCAGAGUCCUACGGGAGGGAGCAGUGGGGAGUAUUGCACAAUGGGCGCAAGCCUGAUGCAGCCAUGCCGCGUGUAUGAAGAAGGGCUGCGGGUUGUAAAGUACUGUCAGCGAGGAGGCGUUAAUCGCAGAAGAAGCACCGGCUAACUCCGUGCCAGCCGCCGCGGUAAUAC